rnacentral:sRNA from 2 species
AGUUAAGGAACAUCGGUUAAGAUCGCAACGUCCUGUUGCAACACCGAUGUCAGCACAUCCUGUGCA